rnacentral:rRNA from 1 species
UAAUACGUAGGUGGCAAGCGUUGUCCGGAAUUACUGGGCGUAAAGAAUGCGUAGGCGGUUUUUUAAGUGGGAUGUGAAAUCCCUGGGCUCAACCCAGGAACUGCAUUCCAAACUGGAGAACUAGAGUGCGGGAGAGGAAAAUGGUAUUCCCAGUGUAGCGGUGAAAUGCGUAGAGAUUGGGAGGAACACCAGUAGCGAAGGCGAUUUUCUGGAACGUAACUGACGCUGAGGCAUGAAAGCGUGGGGAGCAAACAGGAUUAGAUACCCUGGUAGUCCACGCCGUAAACGAUGAGUACUAGGUGUAGGGGGGUACCACCCUCUGUGCCGCAGUUAACACAUUAAGUACUCCGCCGGGGAAGUACGAU